GGGCGGGGUGCUAUACAUGCAGUCGAGCGGACAGAUGGGAGCUUGCUCCCUGAUGUUAGCGGCGGACGGGUGAGUAACACGUGGGUAACCUGCCUGUAAGACUGGGAUAACUCCGGGAAACCGGGGCUAAUACCGGAUGGUUGUUUGAACCGCAUGGUUCAAACAUAAAAGGUGGCUUCGGCUACCACUUACAGAUGGACCCGCGGCGCAUUAGCUAGUUGGUGAGGUAACGGCUCACCAAGGCAACGAUGCGUAGCCGACCUGAGAGGGUGAUCGGCCACACUGGGACUGAAACACGGCCCAGACUCCUACGGGAGGCAGCAGUAGGGAAUCUUCCGCAAUGGACGAAAGUCUGACGGAGCAACGCCGCGUGAGUGAUGAAGGUUUUCGGAUCGUAAAGCUCUGUUGUUAGGGAAGAACAAGUACCGUUCGAAUAGGGCGGUACCUUGACGGUACCUAACCAGAAAGCCACGGCUAACUACGUGCCAGCAGCCGCGGUAAUACGUAGGUGGCAAGCGUUGUCCGGAAUUAUUGGGCGUAAAGGGCUCGCAGGCGGUUUCUUAAGUCUGAUGUGAAAGCCCCCGGCUCAACCGGGGAGGGUCAUUGGAAACUGGGGGAACUUGAGUGCAGAACGGAGAGUGGAAUUCCACGUGUAGCGGUGAAAUGCGUAGAGAUGUGGAGGAACACCAGUGGCGAAGGGGGACUCUCUGGUCGGGAACUGACGCUGAGGAGCGAAAGCGUGGGGGAGCGAACAGGAUUAGAUACCCUGGUAGUCCACGCCGUAUACGAUGAGUGCUAAGUGUAGGGGGGUUUCCCCCCCUUACUGGCUGCAGCUAAACGCAUUAACACUCCGGCUGCGGGAGUACGGUCGCAGGACUGAAACUCU
rnacentral:rRNA from 1 species